ACGCACAGCGAAAGGUGCUUGCACCUUUCAGUGAGUGGCGAACGGGUGAGUAACACGUGGACAACCUGCCUCAAGGCUGGGGAUAACAUUUGGAAACAGAUGCUAAUACCGAAUAAAACUCAGUGUCGCAUGACACAAAGUUAAAAGGCGCUUUGGCGUCACCUAGAGAUGGAUCCGCGGUGCAUUAGUUAGUUGGUGGGGUAAAGGCCUACCAAGACAAUGAUGCAUAGCCGAGUUGAGAGACUGAUCGGCCACAUUGGGACUGAGACACGGCCCAAACUCCUACGGGAGGCUGCAGUAGGGAAUCUUCCACAAUGGGCGAAAGCCUGAUGGAGCAACGCCGCGUGUGUGAUGAAGGCUUUCGGGUCGUAAAGCACUGUUGUAUGGGAAGAACAGCUAGAAUAGGGAAUGAUUUUAGUUUGACGGUACCAUACCAGAAAGGGACGGCUAAAUACGUGCCAGCAGCCGCGGUAAUACGUAUGUCCCGAGCGUUAUCCGGAUUUAUUGGGCGUAAAGCGAGCGCAGACGGUUGAUUAAGUCUGAUGUGAAAGCCCGGAG
rnacentral:rRNA from 1 species